rnacentral:rRNA from 1 species
UACGUAGGGUGCGAGCGUUAAUCGGAAUACUGGGCGUAAAGCGUGCGCAGGCGGUGAUGUAAGACAGAUGUGAAAUCCCCGGGCUCAACCUGGGAACUGCAUUGUGACUGCAUCGCUGGAGUGCGGCAGAGGGGGGGUAGAAUUCCACGUGUAGCAGUGAAAUGCGUAGAUAUCAGGAGGAAUACCGAUGGCGAAGGCAGGUCUCUGGGCUAGAACUGACGCUCGAUGCACGAAAGCGUGGGGAGCAAACAG